rnacentral:rRNA from 1 species
AGAGUUUGAUCCUGGCUCAGGAUGAACGCUGGCGGCGUGCCUAAUACAUGCAAGUCGAGCGAACGGACGAGAAGCUUGCUUCUCUGAUGUUAGCGGCGGACGGGUGAGUAACACGUGGAUAACCUACCUAUAAGACUGGGAUAACUUCGGGAAACCGGAGCUAAUACCGGAUAAUAUUUUGAACCGCAUGGUUCAAAAGUGAAAGACGGUCUUGCUGUCACUUAUAGAUGGAUCCGCGCUGCAUUAGCUAGUUGGUAAGGUAACGGCUUACCAAGGCAACGAUGCAUAGCCGACCUGAGAGGGUGAUCGGCCACACUGGAACUGAGACACGGUCCAGACUCCUACGGGAGGCAGCAGUAGGGAAUCUUCCGCAAUGGGCGAAAGCCUGACGGAGCAACGCCGCGUGAGUGAUGAAGGUCUUCGGAUCGUAAAACUCUGUUAUUAGGGAAGAACAUAUGUGUAAGUAACUGUGCACAUCUUGACGGUACCUAAUCAGAAAGCCACGGCUAACUACGUGCCAGCAGCCGCGGUAAUACGUAGGUGGCAAGCGUUGUCCGGAAUUAUUGGGCGUAAAGCGCGCGUAGGCGGUUUUUUAAGUCUGAUGUGAAAGCCCACGGCUCAACCGUGGAGGGUCAUUGGAAACUGGAAAACUUGAGUGCAGAAGAGGAAAGUGGAAUUCCAUGUGUAGCGGUGAAAUGCGCAGAGAUAUGGAGGAACACCAGUGGCGAAGGCGACUUUCUGGUCUGUAACUGACGCUGAUGUGCGAAAGCGUGGGGAUCAAACAGGAUUAGAUACCCUGGUAGUCCACGCCGUAAACGAUGAGUGCUAAGUGUUAGGGGGUUUCCGCCCCUUAGUGCUGCAGCUAACGCAUUAAGCACUCCGCCUGGGGAGUACGACCGCAAGGUUGAAACUCAAAGGAAUUGACGGGGACCCGCACAAGCGGUGGAGCAUGUGGUUUAAUUCGAAGCAACGCGAAGAACCUUACCAAAUCUUGACAUCCUUUGACAACUCUAGAGAUAGAGCCUUCCCCUUCGGGGGACAAAGUGACAGGUGGUGCAUGGUUGUCGUCAGCUCGUGUCGUGAGAUGUUGGGUUAAGUCCCGCAACGAGCGCAACCCUUAAGCUUAGUUGCCAUCAUUAAGUUGGGCACUCUAAGUUGACUGCCGGUGACAAACCGGAGGAAGGUGGGGAUGACGUCAAAUCAUCAUGCCCCUUAUGAUUUGGGCUACACACGUGCUACAAUGGACAAUACAAAGGGCAGCGAAACCGCGAGGUCAAGCAAAUCCCAUAAAGUUGUUCUCAGUUCGGAUUGUAGUCUGCAACUCGACUACAUGAAGCUGGAAUCGCUAGUAAUCGUAGAUCAGCAUGCUACGGUGAAUACGUUCCCGGGUCUUGUACACACCGCCCGUCACACCACGAGAGUUUGUAACACCCGAAGCCGGUGGAGUAACCUUUUAGGAGCUAGCCGUCGAAGGUGGGACAAAUGAUUGGGGUGAAGUCGUAACAAGGUAGCCGUAUCGGAAGGUGCGGCUGGAUCACCU